ensembl:lncRNA
UCAUGCUCUAGUCUAGACUACUGGAGGAGGGUUAACAGACAGUCAGUCCUCUACUCUAUAUUCACCAUGCUCUAGUCUAGUCUAGACUCCUGGAGGAGGGUUAACAGACAGUCCUCUACUCUAUAUUCACCAUGCUCUAAUCUAGACUACUGGAGGAGGGUUAACAGACAGUCCUCUACUCUAUAUUCAACAUGCUCUAGUCUAGUCUAGACUACUGGAGGAGGGUUAACAGACAGUCAGUCCUCUACUCUAUAUUCACCAUGCUCUAGUCUAGUCUAGACUCCUGGAGGAGGGUUAACAGACAGACAGUCCUCUACUCUAUAUUCACCAUGCUCUAGUCUAGUCUAGACUCCUGGAGGAGGGUUAACAGACAGUCCUCUACUCUAUAUUCACCAUGCUCUAGUCUAGACUCCUGGAGGAGGGUUAACAGACAGUCAGUCCUCUACUCUAUAUUCACCAUGCUCCAGUCUAGUCUAGACUCCUGGAGGAGGGUUAACAGACAGUCCUCUACUCUAUAUUCACCAUGCUCUAAUCUAGACUACUGGAGGAGGGUUAACAGACAGUCCUCUACUCUAUAUUCACCAUGCUCUAGUCUAGUCUAGACUACUGGAGGAGGGUUAACAGACACUCAGUCCUCUACUCUAUAUUCACCAUGUUCUAGUCUAGACUACUGGAGGAGGGUUAACAGACAGUCCUCUACUCUAUAUUCACCAUGCUCUAGUCUAGACUACUGGAGGAGGGUUAACAGACAGUCAGUCCUCUACUCUAUAUUCACCAUGCUCUAGUCUAGACUACUGGAGGAGGGUUAACAGACAGUCAGUCCUCUACUCUAUAUUCACCAUGCUCUAGUCUAGUCUAGACUCCUGGAGGAUGGUUAAUAGACCAAUUGGACAUGUUAGCUGACUAGUGGGUUGGGUAACAUCAUUCUAUCCCACAUUCCAUUUCAGCUGUGCUAUGAACAGAACUGUAAAUUACUACUAAUUUAUAGCUACGUAAACCUACAUGGAACCCACCCACAUACCUGGAACUUAUAACAUGUAAACUACCCUACAAUAAACUGUUCACCUUUUGGAAAGUUUGUCAAUCUACAUAUUGUUAAAUGUGUUUUUGGUUCGGAGAGGAGAUAAUUCUCUGAAUGUUCUAUACAAAUGUUAAGGUAAGCAUUCUCCACUUUUUGAUGUGUCAGGGUUCUCUUCUCUUGAUGUGUCAGGGUUCUCUUGAUGUGUCAGGGUUCUCUUGAUGUGUCAGGGUUCUCUUCUCUUGAUGUGUCAGGGUUCUCUUGAUGUGUCAGGGUUCUCUUGAUGUGUCAGGGGUCUCUUCUCUUGAUGUGUCAGGGUUCUCUUCUCUUGAUGUGUCAGGGUUCUCUUGAUGUGUCAGGGUUCUCUUCUCUUGAAGAUUGAUGUUGGAGACGAAAACUAAAGCCAAAACCCAAGUAUUCUCAUCUGUCACGUUUUUUUAAUAUAUAUUUUUUACAUUUUCAACAAUACUCUGAUGUAAAAUCAAUCAAAAUGUUUCUCUUCUGUUGACAUUUGUGAGCCCCUGAUU